AUUGCAAUUAACAUUAAUCCCUAUUAGGGAUUGAAAA
rfam:Mastigocoleus testarum BC008 Contig-113, whole genome shotgun sequence.